AAGGCUAACUAUUUACUUAAUGUUUGUAUUAGGACUUCUGUGGAGGUCAGUUUAAAGUGACCUUACUGAGUUUUCUUACAGAAUAGGACAAAAAUGAAUUUAAGUUGUUCAAGUUUCAUUUGAAGGCACCAGUAGCCAAACAAAUGAAUUAGCUAGGCUAGGCUGCUAGCUAGUGACAACUAGCAACCGUUGCUAAUAACGGUUACCAAGGCGGUUACCAAGGCGACCAACAAGGUCAUCUGUAGCCACAGUAGAGCUAAAUAGCCUAAUGUCAGCUAGGAGGAAAGCUAACUAUUUACUUAUUUUUUGUAUUAGGACUACUGUGGAGGUCAGUUUAAAGUGACCUUACUGAGUUUUCUUACAGAAUAGGACAAAAAAAAUGGAUUUAAAGAACUUUUCUGGAGGUCUCUCCUGCCGCUCUCGAUCAUGGCGGCCGCCAGCCUCGACGCUGCUCCUGGUCCUGCGUUCUUCUGUCCCCGGGCCCAUUGGAACAGCAUGUCCAGCACCAAGGCUCCUAGGUUGUCCCUGGACGCGUCACUCUGGGGUUUCUGAGCAUGAAGAGCAGUGGGGGGGUGGGGGGGGACAGAUGAGCAUCAGUGUGUGUGUGUAAUCUCCUGCAGUGUCCCAGAUGGCUUAGUGAUGGCUGACAGUGCAGAUUAAAACAAUCAAAAUUCUCCACCA